rnacentral:sRNA from 1 species
UCACAGCUUUCGUUUUCCGUCCAGCCCC